ACUUUCUUAGUACAAAUAGUAUAACUGACUUCCAAUCAGUAGGCUCCAAAUACAUUUUGGAAGAGAGUA
rnacentral:tRNA from 1 species